CUCAGGACGAACGCUGGCGGCGCGCCUAACACAUGCAAGUCGAACGAGAGAGAGGGAGCUUGCUUCCUCAAUCGAGUGGCGAACGGGUGAGUAACGCGUGAGGAACCUGCCUCAAAGAGGGGGACAACAGUUGGAAACGACUGCUAAUACCGCAUAAGCCCACGGCUCGGCAUCGAGCAGAGGGAAAAGGAGUGAUCCGCUUUGAGAUGGCCUCGCGUCCGAUUAGCUGGUUGGUGAGGUAACGGCCCACCAAGGCGACGAUCGGUAGCCGGACUGAGAGGUUGAACGGCCACAUUGGGACUGAGACACGGCCCAGACUCCUACGGGAGGCAGCAGUGGGGAAUAUUGCACAAUGGGGGAAACCCUGAUGCAGCGACGCCGCGUGGAGGAAGAAGGUCUUCGGAUUGUAAACUCCUGUUGUUGAGGAAGAUAAUGACGGUACUCAACAAGGAAGUGACGGCUAACUACGUGCCAGCAGCCGCGGUAAAACGUAGGUCACAAGCGUUGUCCGGAAUUACUGGGUGUAAAGGGAGCGCAGGCGGGAGAACAAGUUGGAAGUGAAAUCCAUGGGCUCAACCCAUGAACUGCUUUCAAAACUGUUUUUCUUGAGUAGUGCAGAGGUAGGCGGAAUUCCCGGUGUAGCGGUGGAAUGCGUAGAUAUCGGGAGGAACACCAGUGGCGAAGGCGGCCUACUGGGCACCAACUGACGCUGAGGCUCGAAAGUGUGGGUAGCAAACAGGAUUAGAUACCCUGGUAGUCCACACCGUAAACGAUGAUUACUAGGUGUUGGAGGAUUGACCCCUUCAGUGCCGCAGUUAACACAAUAAGUAAUCCACCUGGGGAGUACGACCGCAAGGUUGAAACUCAAAGGAAUUGACGGAAGG
rnacentral:rRNA from 1 species